UACGUAGGGUGCAAGCGUUAAUCGGAAUUACUGGGCGUAAAGCGUGCGCAGGCGGUCUUGCAAGACAGAUGUGAAAUCCCCGGGCUUAACCUGGGAACUGCAUUUGUGACUGCAAGGCUGGAGUGCGGCAGAGGGGGAUGGAAUUCCGCGUGUAGCAGUGAAAUGCGUAGAUAUGCGGAGGAACACCGAUGGCGAAGGCAAUCCCCUGGGCCUGCACUGACGCUCAUGCACGAAAGCAUGGGGAGCAAACAGG
rnacentral:rRNA from 1 species